UCGAACAAGCAGGGGGAAACAAGGGUGAAACCCUUGUUUACUAAAUUCAAUCAAUUGGAUAGGAGAUUUGAUGAUAAUCAACUGCAUGAACUCGAAUUUACACUCAUCUAAACUCGAUUAUUGAAGUGGCGUGAAAGAAGAAGGUUCCAACACUAGGAAAUCGGAAAGUUCACAAGAUCGAGGUAAAUCCUCACUUUAGGCGACUUGGCAAUUUGGAG